UACGUAGGGGGCAAGCGUUGUCCGGAAUCAUUGGGCGUAAAGCGCGUGUAGGCGGUCCGGUCAGUCGGGUGUGAAAGUCAAGGGCUCAACCCUUGAAUGCCGGCCGAUACUGCCGGGCUAGAGUCCGGAAGAGGUGAGUGGAAUUCCUGGUGUAGCGGUGAAAUGCGCAGAUAUCAGGAGGAACACCGAUGGCGAAGGCAGCUCACUGGGACGGUACUGACGCUGAGACGCGAAAGCGUGGGGAGCGAACAGG
rnacentral:rRNA from 1 species